UCAAAAUGUAAAAUGAUCUGCAAUGUGAAAUGAGAAAAUCUGAAUGAAAUUGUAUAUGAAGGCUCUGAAUGUGUUGCUGGUUGUGGAAUGCCAGAAUGUUCCUAACUUGAAGAGGAACAUGUGAACUGUAUCAGUGUAUCUCCAUGAUUGUGAUGAGAUGUACUCUAAAUGCUUGAUCACUUUGUUUGCACUUAUAACACAUCAUCUACAAAACUUCCGCCAGCCCAAAAAAAGUUUAGUAUACGUCCUGAUGACCAGUGCCAAUCAACCCACACAUUAUCUCAUUGUGUUUAUAGUAAUUAGUACAUAUUAAUAUGUUGAGAGAGCCCAAAACAAUGUAAGUAAUAGCAAACUUCGGUGAUAAAGCUAAGUUGCCUAUUUGAUGAUUGUACAAAGUUUAAAAUUCAUGUUUUCAUAAUUGUUUAUUUGACACAGAAAUCACUAUGAUUAUUCAAAACUAUUUUAUAGGAACAAACACAGUACAAACACAGUACAGUCUGACAAUUGAAAGAAUACAUUACGUUUAAUCAUGGAAGCCCCUGAUGUUUGUCUUGCUGACUGUCUGUCAUUUCAUUUCUAAGGCAGGAUUAUUUCAAUCACUCUUCACGUGUCUGCAGCAGCAUAACCUAAAAUGAACUGUGAGCUGAGCAUCAGAGCAUUGUUUACAGAGAAAAAGAGUGGGAGGCACUUACUCUAUCCUGCUGUGAUUCCAUGGUUUGAUUCUCUACAUUUGUGGAUCAAAGAGAGAAACAAGAAAGAAAGAGUAUAAGUUGUCAUACUUUAUAUCUGUGUAACUGUGUUUCUCCCGUUCCAAAAUCAUUGAUCAAAAAGAGGCCCAUUCUGAUCUUGGUUCAGCACCGGCUUGUUAAUGAGUUUGUUUUGAAACCUCCUAUGGUGGGUGUUUCACUAAACAUGACGAAAAUCUUAAUUCAAAUGGGAUGGUAGUCUAAUUUGUAAUGAACCAACUCUCCUCUUGGUCCUAGUGUUCAGUGUCCUCUCUGUGGAUGUCCACUGAUUAAACAAGCCCCAGGACUUCUUCAGUCUUCAGUUCUUAAAGAUGGUCAGGGUUAGUUAGUUUAGCUCCAAGAAGUCCAGAAGGCAGCACAGACCUCCUGGGGGGCCUCCCUCCCAAUCAGGCUCCUCUUUGUUCUGACCUGCUACUGGCCUGGGCCCUUGCAUCCAGUCGCCUCAAAGGGAAUGGCCAACCAGGCCUUUCAUAUUGCUGAGGGAUGUGGGGCUUCAGAGCCCAGCAGGUCCCCCGGGCUCCCAUGCACUCCCAACUCCUCAGCAAUGCCAGUAGAGACAAGGGUUGUGCCCCCCACUGCGUCAUCACAUUCCCAGACCCUUCUGUACAGAGCACCCUCCUAAUGUUACCCCCAUGGCUCACUGGACUGCACCGCACCAGACCAAACAAACAUUCCCUCCCUACUUUAUGUCCUCUGGUAUCUCUUGAUUCAACUUUACAUCUGAAGGUAACCGGCUCAGUUCUCAAUGGUUCUGAAUAGUUAGAGUAUGUGGCAGCAUUUAGCUCACCUUCAUCAGUUCACUUCCUUGUUGACACAAGAGUAAAGCAACUCAACAAUACCUCUUACAGGUGUCAGGUUCUCACAGAUACCUCAUUACAUUACAGGGACAUUUCCUCAAACAUAUUGUAUGUUUUCACACAUACACUCAGAAAAAAAGACUGCUGUGCAGCACCAUUUGUCCCUGUAGGAGAACCCCGUGAAAGUUGGCUCCAGAU
rnacentral:lncRNA from 1 species